AGAGUUUGAUCCUGGCUCAGGACGAACGCUGGCGGCGUGCCUAACACAUGCAAGUCGAACGGGUUCGGAGGUUAGAAGACAGAGGUCAGAGGUAAGAAUAGAGGAAGAAAUUGGCUGUGCCAAUUUCAACCAAAGUUCUGACGUCCGACUUCCGACUUCUGACUUCCGAUACUAGUGGCGGACGGGUGAGUAACGCGUGGGUGACCUACCCAUAAGAGGGGGAUAACAGCUGGAAACGGCUGCUAAUACCGCAUAAGCUUCUUAGGAAGUAAAGAUGGCCUCUUAACAAUGCUAUCGCUUAUGGAUGGGCCCGCGUCUGAUUAGCUAGUUGGUGGGGUAAGGGCCUACCAAGGCGACGAUCAGUAGCCGGCCUGAGAGGGUGGACGGCCACACUGGGACUGAGACACGGCCCAGACUCCUACGGGAGGCAGCAGUGGGGAAUAUUGCGCAAUGGGGGAAACCCUGACGCAGCGACGCCGCGUGAGCGAAGAAGGCCUUAGGGUCGUAAAGCUCUGUUUUAAGGGACGAAGUCUUAAGGGGGUAAGAUACCCUUAAGGUGACGGUACCUUAAGAGAAAGCCCCGGCUAACUACGUGCCAGCAGCCGCGGUAAGACGUAGGGGGCGAGCGUUGUCCGGAAUUACUGGGCGUAAAGAGCACGUAGGCGGAUAAUUAAGUCAGGUGUGAAAGACCGCAGCCUAACUGCGGGGUUGCACUUGAGACUGGUUAUCUUGAGGGCAGGAGAGGUCAGUAGAAUUCCUGGUGUAGCGGUGAAAUGCGUAGAAAUCAGGAGGAAUACCAGUGGCGAAGGCGGCUGACUGGACUGACCCUGACGCUGAGGUGCGAAAGCGUGGGUAGCAAACAGGAUUAGAUACCCUGGUAGUCCACGCCGUAAACGAUGGAUACUAGGUGUAAGAGGUAUCGACCCCUUCUGUGCCGGAGCAAACGCAAUAAGUAUUCUCGCCUGGGGAGUACGGUCGCAAGACUGAAACUCAAAUGAAUUGACGG
rnacentral:rRNA from 1 species